ACAUGAAGUGUAGCUGAGCAGCGAUUUCAAAGCUGCCACCUCAACUGAUUAUUGAUUAGCUUAUCCUUUGUGCUGAUGAAGGCCACCUUCUCCUCAGCCGACCUCAACCUCUAAACAUUCAGAGCUCCGCCUGUCCAGAUCUUUGUGCUGGAUCUAAUUUCCAGUUUGAUGACAUCAGGCCACACUCGAGAUCAUCAAGUGUGGAUCGUAGCUGAGAGGCCCUGAAACCUGACAGGAAUGAAAAGGAGAGACUUCCUAAACACUUUGUGUCGUCAUGCUGUUUUCAAAGAAAACAGACAUUAGAAAACUGAGGAUUACUUCGUGUUCAUUGGGCAGCUUGUUGUUCCUUACUUCCUGCUCCUCUGUAACUCUACCAUGACCAUAACCUCCAAAAUGAUCAUCAUGUUUCAUUCAAUCUGCGACCAGAAACCCAUCACCUGAGAAGGACGCUCAUUUUCUCUUAGAAGGCGAGCUCUAUACAAUCUGAGCAGAGGAGUUCCCCCCCCCUGGACAUUACAGAGAAUUCAGGUCAGGGUGAUGAGGGUGAUGAUACUGCUCCAAAAACAUUCCUCUGAUGCCAUCGCAGCAAUAUGCAGAGUCGGCGUUUGAAGUUCUCAAGCCUUCACACUGUCAGACAUGGAACUGCUUGUUCGCUUCGUCCUCAUCAGAUCAUAAGUUCUGAUGAGAGAAACUGUCAGCGCUGUCAAACCAGAGGACAUAGAGGAGGCUUUAUUCCCCAAGAGGAUGCUCACAGGAAGCUGGAGGGGGCAGGGCAUAUCUACAGUCAUGCACCUGAAAACACAACAAGGGAAACCAAACAGAUUCCUGCCUUUGUACGAAAACAGUCUGAAAGGUGAAGUAGUGAAGAGGGUUUUACACACUGAAGCAGUGAUUGGUGGAAUGGAGUCAGGUGAGUGUUUGGGAGGGAAACAGGGCAGGUGUUAGAGGAUGAGGUAACGUGUAAACUGAAAAAAGUGUUAACUUCAUCCUACUCCUUUUUGAGCAUAAACAUUGUGU
ensembl:lncRNA